rnacentral:rRNA from 1 species
CAAGCUCGACAGAGUACGAGGUGGAUGCCUUGGUGCUAAAGGCCGAUGAAGGACGCGGAGACCGGCGAAACGUUCAGGGGGAGCUGCACACAAGCGAAGAGCCCUGAGUAUCCGAAUGGGGCAACCCAUCCAGAGUGAUGUCUGGAUACCCCCUGCUGAACACAUAGGCAGGGCGGAGGGCAGCAGGCGAACUGAAACAUCUCAGUAGCUUGACGAAAAGAAAUCAACCGAGAUUCCCGUAGUAGUGGCGAGCGAACCGGGAGGAGCCCAAACCAGUGACACUUCGGUGCCACCGGGGUUGUAGGACCGGCGUAAGGUGAACCAAGCUGACUCGAAGGAACUGGAACGUUCCACCAGAGCGGGUGAGAGUCCCGUAGAGGCAGGGGAGGAACACUGGCUGGGAUCCUGAGUACCACGAGACACGUGCAAUCUUGUGGGAAGCUGGGGGACCACCCUCCAAGGCUCAAUACCUUUAGCAACCGAUAGCGAACAAGUACCGUGAGGGAAAGGUGAAAAGCACCCCGAGAGGGGGAUGAAAGAGACCCUGAAACCACGUACUCACCAGCAGCCAGAGGCCACUGUUCCCGUGGGGAACCAAGGGCUGAUGGCGUGCCUUUUGUAGAAUGAUCCGGCGAGUGCAUCGUCGUCGCAGGUUAACCUCCGCUAAAGGAGGGGAGCCAGAGGGCAACCGAGUCUGAAGCAGGCGUAGGUGUGGCGGCGAUGCGACCCGAAACCGUGUGAGCUACCCAUGAGCAGAGUGAAGCGAAGGUGAAACUUCGUCGAGGCUCGCACCCACCAGUGUUGCAAAACUGGGGGAUGACUUGUGGGUAGGGGUGAAAUGCCAAACGAACACGGAGAUAGCUGGUUCUCCCCGAAAUGUAUUGAGGUACAGCCACGUGGGAGUCCCGCAAGGGACCAUAACUAUCCUGGAGGUAGAGCACUGGAUGGGCUAGGGGCCAAGUGCUGGUUACCAACCCCACUCAAACUGCGAAUGCCAGGACAGGAAGCCACGUGAGUGAGACGGCGGGGGCUAAGCUUCGUCGUCAAAAGGGAAACAGCCCAGAUCACCAGCUAAGGUCUCAAACUUACUGCUCAGUGUUAAAGGGGGUCAUCCCGCCCAAACAGCCAGGAUGUUGGCUUAGAAGCAGCCAUCAUUGAAAGAGUGCGUAAUAGCUCACUGGUCGAGUGGAGUGGCACCGACAACGUAUCGAGGCUCAAGCAGUAGACCGAAGCUGUGAAUAGUUCUGUAGAGAACUAUGGUAGGGGAGCGUUGUGUGGCCCAGAGAAGCCAGAUCGCAAGGACUGGUGGAGGACACACAAGUGAGAAUGCCGGAAUGAGUAGCGUCAUCGCUGUGACAACCAGCGACACCGAACGCCUGAGGGUUCCUGGGCACCGUCAAUCGUCCCAGGGUGAGUCGGGCCCUAAGCCGAGGACAUCACGUCGUAGGCGAUGGAAAGCAGGUGGAGAUUCCUGCACCGGAGUUGCUCGCUACGAGCAAUGGGGGGACGCAGUAGGGAAGGUGAACCUCUCGAAUGGACAGGAGAGGCGUCCAGCACGAAGUGCGAAGCUGAGGCAAAUCCCAGCUUCACCAGCAUGACGACUGGACCGAGCGCUCGCAAGAGCGCGGAAGUCAUCGGCCCCCAGGCUGCCAAGAAAAGCCUCUCGCCAGAGCCAACUCCGCCCGUACCGCAAACCGACACAGGUAGGCAGGGGGAAAUCCCCCAAGGUGAACGAGCGACCCUCUGUUAAGGAACUCGGCAAAUUGACCCCGUACCUUUGGAAGAAGGGGUGCCUUGGUAACUUCCCUUCGGGGGGUGAAGAGGUUGCAAGAAAUUGGCCCAACCGACUGUUUACCAAAAACACAGGUCUCUGCGAACGCGAAAGCGGAAGUAUAGGGGCUGACUCCUGCCCAGUGCCGGAAGGUUACGAGGAGCGGUGAGCGUAGCCGCGAAUCUAAGCCCCGGUGAACGGCGGCCGUAACUAUAACGGUCCUAAGGUAGCGAAAUUCCUUGUCGGGUAAGUUCCGACCCGCACGAAAGGAGUAACGAGUUGGGCACUGUCUCAACAGAGGACUCGGCGAAAUUGAAGUACCCGUGAAGAUACGGGUUACCCACGACAGGACAAAAAGACCCCGUGGAGCUUUACUACAGUUUGGCCUGGAUACGGUGCGGUAGGUGCGUAGGAUAGGUGGGAGCCGGAGAACUCAUCCUUGUGGGGGUGAGGGAGGCACAAGUGAAAUACCACUCUCCUGGUGUGUUGUAUCUCAUGCCUGGCCAUGAGCUGGCAGGCAGACAGGGCCAGAUGGGUAGUUUGACUGGGGCGGUCGCCUCCCAAAGAGUAACGGAGGCGCCCAAAGGUUCCCUCAGGGUGGAUGGACAUCACCCGUAAGAGUGUAAAGGCAGAAGGGAGCUUGACUGCGAGGCAGACGCGCCGAGCAGGGACGAAAGUCGGGCUUAGUGAUCCCACAUUCCCGAGUGGAAGGAAUGUGGCUCAACGGAUAAAAGCUACCCCGGGGAUAACAGGCUUAUCUUGCCCAAGAGUUCACAUCGACGGCAAGGUUUGGCACCUCGAUGUCGGCUCGUCGCAUCCUGGGGCUGGAGUAGGUCCCAAGGGUUGGGCUGUUCGCCCAUGAAAGCGGCACGCGAGCUGGGUUCAGAACGUCGCGAGACAGUUCGGUCUCUAUCCGUCGUGGGCGUAGGAGAAUUGAGGGGAGUCAUCUUCAGUACGAGAGGACCGAGAUGGCUUGACCGCUGGUGCGCCAGUUGGCCUGCCCGGGCCAGAGCUGGGUAGCUACGUCAAGAAGGGAUAAGCGCUGAAAGCAUCUAAGCGCGAAGCCGACCGCAAGACAAGUUCUCCCACUCUCUUUCGAGAGAGUUAAGAUCCCAGGAAGACGACCUGGUAGAUAGACUGUGGGUGCACGCCUGGUAACAGGCGCAGCUGAACAGCCCUAAUGAUCGUACGGCUUGUGUAGUCUCCCUU